GGUUUCAGCACCAGAAUUUGAACCCAUGAAAGGUUUCCUGAUGCCGACACAGACUUGCACCAAACUUGGCUGUCCGAACCUUCCGGGAGCUUGUUAAAAUAGAGAAAUACCUUUCUCCUUCGCAUCUUUCUCCACUACGACCGGCUUGGAUCUCAUCUUCACUCGUUUCCACUCCCCACGGCUCUGUCGGGUUCUGACCACGUGAGAGAUGGACACCACACGAGAUCACCAUCAAACGAGGGACAGCCACGGCUUUAGAAGAAAGCUGCCAGUGUGGAUUUGCUUGUGUUUUAGGCCCGGAGUCAUCUGAUUUUCACGAGACGGUAACGCCGCAAAGGUUUACAGCUCAAGGCUCAGACCAUGGUAAAGAUCCACCAGGUGAAAUUUCGUUUUCCUGGACUGAAUGGUGAACUUCCUGAAAGUCUAAACAAGGGCCUCUCGAGCUGUCACGUGUGGUCGCGCCUGAACCCGUGCCCAUGGUGCUAAGUCAUAAGGACACAGCUGGCAGAUCCAAGGACCCCGUGACAUCCGUACUUGCAGCUGACAAUUUUCAAGAACUUGAGUUUUAAGGCUAAUAACAAAUAGGUUGAAACCCAGCUUCGCAAAGAUACAACACGUUGAAAGAAAUGUGGUGUGAUUUCACGCUGAAACUGUGAACUCCCCCUCGGACUUGCGGUUUGUGCAGCAUCCAAACAGAAAUCAGCAAAAGAUUCUGAUACAUGUGGAAUGUGACUGAAAAGAAGCUGCCAAAAUUGUGCUCCAAGAAGAACAAGGCUUUGUACUUCAUCAGAGAAUCUGGUGGCUUUCAUGAGCCAGAGAACAACAGGGCUUAUGAAGUAGUUUCACGAAGGGCUUAGUCAGUACAAGACCAGUACUUUCUUCUGGAUACCCUGAAAUAUUUACGAGACUGCGUCUGCUUUAGGAAGAAGCUAGAGGUGAAGACACCGAGGCACAAAGAAGUUAGGUGGCCACCCCAAGCGCCCACUGCUGACGGAGCUGACUCUCCUGAUGGCUCAGGACAAUUCUCAGAACAACCCGCUGAUUUAGGGACGACCUUUAGUCCCCCAACCAUCGGCCAGCCUUUCCUGCUAACGCUUAUCUGGUGUGUCCUGAGAAACUGAGGUUAAUGAAGAGGAACGAGAGGAGAUAGAAGAAGACGAUGCCAUUUAUGGCCGUGCGGCCACACCCUCAGGCUCUUCUCCGCGACAUCCGGGCUGGGGCGCGGGCCCCACAAGGAGCAGAGGAGGCGGCGGACACGUGGAGUCCCCCGAGGCCUGCGGUCCACGUGGAGACACACCUGGGGACGCACCGUGAUGUGAUGGCGUCAGGGCACCUGUGGCGCCAGGAGGGCAGUGAGCCGAGGGGUGCCCAGAGAGGUCCCCUUGGGGGGCUCCCAGCUAAACCCACAGAGAGUUCUCUCCUUCCACCUGCACCACCAGGCCCCGAGCUCCACCCCAGGCUCCCCGGCCCUUCACCAGGUGUCUCUCCCUCCACCUUGGUCUAGUUUGAAGCUGAGACAGCGGGUCACACGCCUUCUACUCCGCGCGAUUGGGAGGACACAUUUCUUGUCCUUUAAUAAAGAAAGAGAGGGCGGAAGCGCACGGGAAGUGAGCAGAGGUAGAAUCGGAAAAGGCAGAGGACGUAACAGGUGGGUGCCGAAGACCGUCCAACGUCCUGGGCAGUCAGGACGUGCGAGACUCUUCCACACCCCUGCACUCCGGAGCCCACGGGUCUCGGCUAAGGUGUCCGAAUUUGGAAGGAGAGGAAACAAGCUUACUCUGAUACUCCUGCUGUCACCACUGGAGGGCACCCAGAGCGGGGCUGAUGGAGGGUACUGGCCCUGAGGCCGGAGCCCAGCUGUUACCCCAAGGUCGCGCGUGUGGAAAAUGGGGGGCGGGUUGGGAAGCUGCGGCUGUGAGGACGGACAGCGAUGCCGAAGGCCGAGCAGAGCCUCGUGUGCUCCCCGUGGGGCUUGAUUUGGGCCCAUCCUGGGACUCAAGAAAACCAGGAGACACAGGCUGCCUAGCGCUGCUCGCAGCCCGCGCUGCUCCAGCCCCAGCCUCUGCGGCUCAGGUGCGCCGGGAACGGGCCCAGGAGGAUGGAGCAGAGAGCAACGCUACACCCACGUCUCCCGCGCCCCCGGGCCCUCCCUGAUGUUCCCGCAGGGGACUCGUGCCAUUUGUUCCUCUGAGAUCCCGGCCGUCUCUUCUCUCUACUUUAGAGAUCUGUAUCUAUCAGAGUGUUCCCAGAUGCGAGGGGACCCUUAGACACACAGCUUUGUUGCAGUGUCCUGGGGGAGGGGGCUUCUGGAAGUCCCGAGGCUCAGGGCACAGCCUUGAUUACGUACCGGUGGUGACUGUCCUUACUGGACAGGCCUCUGCCUCAGUGUGUUCAGCUGGUCCCUCUGGGCGGGAAGCUGGGAGGUGGGUCCUCAGCCCCCGCUGGUGUUGAGAGCAGAGAGGAGGCCUCAUGAGAAGCCCCCGGGGCGGGGGGUAUGCACACAGCUGAGGGUGCAGGAGGGACCAGUGAGAUUCCCGCCACUUUCAUUAGCCACGUGUUUACAUUCCAAAGCCGCACGGUCCAGGUCCAGAGGGGUAGGCAGGGGCCAUUGUGUGUGACCAUUCAAAUUAAAAUUAAGUGAAAUAAGACAUUCAGUUUCUCUGUCACACCAGCCACAGUUCAAGUGCUCAACACCCGCGUGGGCUAGUGAUCGCGUUGGGUACGGAACCCCUCCAUCAACGCAGAAGGUUCACUGGUCGUUGCCUCUAGAGAGACCCUGUCCACUGUGACUCUGGAUUCUUGCUUUACUCGUGGGCUUGUCUUCAGAUACAGCCGAGUCCCAUUAAGAAGUCAUCCUUUUGUAUUAUGAAUACGUCUACGUUUUAUUUUUAUUUUGAGGCCAGUUUAAAUCUUUUUUUUUUUCAGUUUGAUAGUAAGAUGAGAAGCCAUUUGAUUUGUUUGUUUUAAUCUCUCCUGUACUUGGAUUUCGUGUGUAAUGAUGUCGUCGUAGUGGGGUCUGGAGUGGUCUAGCGUCUUGCUUCUCUGCAGGACGCCUGUUCUGUGAGCAGCACAGUCUAUACCUCUCAUGAUGAAUUGUCACUAUCCACACUUUCUACUGAGAAAAAUGUUCGAAACAAUAUGUUUACAGCAUGCAAUCAACAAAAAGCUAAGAACACUUUAUAUUCAAUCAAAAUUUUUCAUUUAUCUUAGUUUUGAUAAAGUCUCUAAGAGGGCCUGUAAGUUAACAUUAAAUACUGAGUGAAUAAAAAUUUCUGAGCCAAUAUAAGCACUUCAGCUCAGGGCUGACCAUCCAUCUGGUCUCCAAAUGGCUGGUCUUCAUGAGGAGGGAGAGGUAGGGAGUAGGAAACAUGCACUUCCAUUCAGAGCGGCUCCUGCAGGGAGCAGACAGGUGUGAGAACAGGUGCCUGUACAGACCAGCAAAGCUGACUAUUGAACCACCAACAUCUGAAUAAGUUUUAAAAGGAUUUCAUUUCAUCAUGAAUGAAACCUCUUAAACAACUAAUGGUAAAUCUGAGUGACACAGUGGUUAAGAGACCUGGCUUUAAAGGGACAUAGACACACGUGAGAUCAGGUCCCAAAUGUUCCCAAGAGCAGGUGACCACAGGCGAGUGGCAGUUUGUUUCUGCUUUACAAACUCUGGAUAACGCUUGAACGUACCUCAUAUUGUUGGAGGAUUCGAUACAGGUUUAUUAGCCUUAGCACUGUGCCUGGCGUGUCAUAAGUGCUCAAAAGCUGUUAUGAUAGCCAUGACUAUUCUUACUCUAAAUACUACGGAGAGAAAAAAUUAAAUGAAACCACAGGGUGCUACAUUAGGAAGCUGGACUUCAAAGGUGUACGUGUGUGUAACGCAUGGGACAGCAGGAGCAGGACACCCCAGCUACACAUGAUAGGUACUCAAUCAAUAUGUUUAGUGAAUAAAACAAUGUUGAGAGACUAUUUCCUACUCUAUCUCUGAAGCUUGGGUUUUUGUGGACUUUUGUCUUUUUAAAAAAUGGAUUGAUAAAUUCAUCCAAAAGGAAGAGGUAGAAUGGAAAAUUGGUUUAGCCCCACCCCACCCCAAACCCAUCCACACCCCCUCCUAGUGAUAGAACAAUCACAGUUUGCAGCCUCAGAAAAGCUCCCUGAGAGCAACAGGCAUUUCAGUGUCUUUCUGACCUAGGAAUCAGGACUGCUUCUAUAUUCAGUGUGAAAUCUCUCUGAAACGUUCACGUGUCUCAUUUGCCUCAACUGUAGCCUUUGUUUCUUCUGUGACUUGUCAACUUUCAGGUUUGAAAAUGGUGUCGAUAAAAUAUGGCCAGUAAAUGAGUCAACUAAACACAUUUGUCUCAACAAGAAAGCUGCAAGGAAGUGUGACUGUAUUUUUAGAAACAAGUAUAGUAGACACCACAUAAGUGAGUGAGCUCUUCAAGAAAGUUUAUCCUCCCUGUUCAAAAUGUGAUCAGAACA